rnacentral:rRNA from 1 species
GCAUAACACAUUCAAGUCGAACGAAGCAUUUAAGAUGGAGACUUCGGUCAAAGUCUUAAUUGACUUAGUGGCGGACGGGUGAGUAACGCGUGAGCAACCUGCCCUUUUGUUCGGGAUAACGUUUGGAAACGGACGCUAAUACCGAAUGACGUGUUGAGAUUGCAUGGUCUUAACACCAAAGAUUUAUUGCAGAAGGAUGGGCUCGCGUCUGAUUAGGUAGUUGGUGGGGUAACGGCCUACCAAGCCGACGAUCAGUAGCCGGACUGCGAGGUUGAACGGCCACAUUGGAGCUGGGAUACGGUCCGGACUCCUCCGGGAGGCAGCAGUGGGGAGUAUUGGGCAAUGGGCGAAAGCUUGUCCCAGCGACGCCGCGUGAGGGAAGACGGUCUUCGGAUUGUAAACCUUUGUUGACAGGGACGAACAAAUGACGGUACCUGUCGAGGAAGCCACGGCUAACUACGUGCCAGCAGCCGCCGUAAAAC